rnacentral:rRNA from 1 species
AUGCCUCGAGCGUACGGUACCACGCGAGGAAAAAAAGACCACCGCGCCGCGCCGCGCGUGGGGUGCGGCGCACCACGCCAGCGAAAAAACCACCGCACCGCGCUCGACGUGCAGGCCCCGCACCCGUCUUUCUCCUCCAGCGAAUCGAGCGGGCAGCGAGCGACAGUGAAAGAAACGCUCCCAACCCUAGCCCACCCCGCGACCCUAGUUUCUCAUGCGCCGCCGCCGCCGCCCCCCGCCCGCGUUGGAGAAAGUGAGAGGAAAGAGGAGAGGGAGGUGAGGCACCAGGCAGGAGAGGGUCACAGACUGCUGUCGUCCUGCGCCGGCGAGGUCGGGCGCGACCUGGCGGUUGGUGGCGGCUCGAUCUGCUGCUGGAUCAGGAGAGGAGGAAGGGAGGUGGGGGGCUGGCCGUCUCUGUGCCUCCUCGACGCCGAGCUGCGGCUGCCCCGUGGGCUCUCUCUCUCUCUCUCUCUCUCUCUCUCGAUCUGA